rnacentral:rRNA from 1 species
UACGGAGGGUGCAAGCGUUAUCCGGAUUCACUGGGUUUAAAGGGUGCGUAGGUGGAUUAAUAAGUCAGUGGUGAAAGCCCGCAGCUUAACUGCGGAACUGCCAUUGAUACUGUUAAUCUUGAGUACAGUUGAGGUGGGCGGAAUGUGUCAUGUAGCGGUGAAAUGCUUAGAUAUGACACAGAACACCGAUUGCGAAGGCAGCUCACUAAGCUGUAACUGACACUGAUGCACGAAAGCGUGGGGAGCAAACAGG